AUGAAUUCCUUUACUGACUGAGCAGGAAAAGACAAAGUGAGAUUACAUGCGACCAGGCUGGUUCCUUGUCCCCGCGCCCUCCGGGCGCGCCCUGGUGCUGAGGGCAGAGAGGGUGGCCUUUCACCUGUGGGGCUCAGAGCCAGGCUCUCUCUUUCUGAAAGGAAACGCGGACUUCUGCUCGUAAGGAUGCCAGCAUUGUGACAUAGUUUUUGAUGACUGUGACAGGCUUCGCGCGCGGCGCUGCGAUGGCUCCAGUCCGCUCUUGAGGGCACCCCGGGCCACACUGGACUCCAGCGGCUCGCGUACGUGAAACCGUGGUGAGAAUCGCAUCACUUCACUGGGUCGCUGUGAAGACUGAACGAGAGACAGACGGAAAUCAGGAGGAGAAGGCCCUAGGGGAAGGGAGGCUGCCCCAGAGCCGCUGGCACCGACCCUCGGCCCUCCCUGCCCAGCCCAGUGGAGCUCCCUGAGCCCGGCGCAGCUGCUAAAGUCUUGUGUUCCGGCACAUUUUUGCAAGAAUGAAUUAAAUAAGAAUGCUUUGGACAGUUCCGAACCAAUUUGUAAGUUUGUCUAUCUUUGACAUUAGACAUUCUCAUUCAAUCUUAUGGUUUAAUUACUCUUAACAUUCUGAAAAUUCCCAAAUGUACUUUGUUAUUUUGAGCUCUGGACUUAAAGGCUGCCAAGUGUCUUCUGGAAGUUUCACCAUCACCCUGAAUGUAGUGUUUUCAAAGUAAAAGCCACAAUUGGCACCCCUUCCAUGCAAUAUUUUUUCCUAAUUCAGCUCCUUAAACCACCCAGUUACUCGACUGAUGCAGUGACGCCCUUGGCCACAGUCCUCUUGUCCUUGCCCACCUGACUUCUGUGAGCAUCACUCUCCUGCUUGUCUAAUAAUCCCUUUUUAUUGGCUUCUUAAUAUCAAUGAAAUAUUUUCAGUUUAUUCCCAUCUUAAAUAAAAUUGGCCUUAAAUCCUGUUCCAUCUAUUCCAUAUCUGCAUAGUCCUUGGCCCUUUGAGUUGUGGUAAUGAUUUUCUACAUCCAACGUUUUAUUUUUCUCACUUGCUUUCAUGAUUAAUUAAGAUUGUUUAUUUUUUGUUUCCAAUCAACUACUAAAACAGUUUUUUCCAGAGUCAGCCACAUUCUACUUGUAUCUAAUUUCAGUGGAUUGUUUUUAAGCCUUUUCUUCACCGAUGUGAUAGCAGUAGGUGACACUCCUAAGUGCACCCUCCUUUGUGAAAAGUACCUGGCAGAAUAUAACCAGCGAUUUUGCCCUGACUUUAUUUUUGGUGUGUGUGACUUUAUUCUGGCAAGCUCUGCUUUUGCUCCUGCUUCUGCGACGUGUGACCUGUGCCGCUCGCUGCACUCUCAGCUUCCUGAGGAGGGAGCGUGCCUCUCGCAGCCACUUCUGCAUCUCCGGCCUGUGUAGGAAGCCUGGCAAAGAAUGUGCCCCGCAGUCACAGGGGGCUUGUGAGAAGCACAGGCAGAGUGCCGCCACAGUGUCCCUGCCCAGCGUGGUUAGGGCACGCACCGAUGGGCGUGGGUUGUGCUCCUGCCGGUGAGUUGAAAACAGAAUAUGGGUGUGACUUGUCUUGAUAAAAAGCAAAGGACUUUGGCCAGUAGAGAAAAGAUCAACAAAUUGAGACCACAAUUGUUGAACAACAAAAAUAAAUGAAUAACCAACUCA